AUGCUUUUGGUCAAAUAUAACUCACCAUUCCUUCAUCUAUGACAGAAUGAUACGAACUCCUUAUAUAAUACAACAGCAGAAAUCAUCAGCACAAAGACGGCGGUGAUUAAAAGGAGAAAAUUCACCACCACUACCACCUCACGGGUCCUGCCCAGAUUACCCUGAAUAAAAACAGACAUCAAAAACCACAGAUAUAACAGCACAGAGAACACACAAAAGAAAUUUCGUAACUCCACAAUGCUUAUAACUUCUUGUAUCAUUAAUCUUUAUACUUAACAUUGUGUAAUGAUAUACAGGGAUUGAUCAUUGGCCAUUGGCAGUUGUGGAUCUUGCAACCCUGUGUAAGUAAGUUGGUAAUGUUAAUCAAAACUCAUACUGUUAUGUGGAAAGAAAAACGUUAUGUGCUGUUAUAUUCCCAAUUUGUACCACAAUUCUUUUUCUUUCUUACACUGUCUGUUCUGAAUAAAACAAUUCCUCAAGUUCA